CUACGGGGCGCUGCAGUUAAGGAAAUUUUACAAUGCUCGAAAGAGUGAUAGAAUAAACCAGAGUGUUUCUCUUAGAGAAACUUUUGUUUGCUGUAAAAAGGCAGACGAAUAAGGACUGGGCAAGACCGGUGCCAGCCGCCGCGGUAAUACCGGCGGUCCGAGUCGCAUCCACAUUUAUUGGGUCUAAAACAUUCGUAGCUUGUUCUGUAAGUCUCUUGUGAAAUCUCAUGUCUCAAGCAUGAGGCGGGCAAGAGAUACUGCAUUACUAGAGACCGGAAGACGCAAAGAGUACGAUUAAGGUAGCGGUAAAAUGUGUUAAUCUUGAUUGGACUAACAAUGGCGAAGGCACUUUGCGAGUACGGAUCUGACAGUGAGGGAUGAAGGCCAGGGGCGCAAAAGGGAUUAGAUACCCCAGUAGUC
rnacentral:rRNA from 1 species